rnacentral:rRNA from 1 species
CCUACGGGAGGCUGCAGUGAGGAAUAUUGGUCAAUGGACGAGAGCCUGAACCAGCCAAGUCGCGUGAAGGAUGACUGCCCUAUGGGUUGUAAACUUCUUUUAUAUGGGAAUAAAAUGUUCCACGUGUGGGAUUUUGUAUGUACCAUAUGAAUAAGGAUCGGCUAACUCCGUGCCAGCAGCCGCGGUAAUACGGAGGAUCCGAGCGUUAUCCGGAUUUAUUGGGUUUAAAGGGAGCGUAGGUGGAUUGUUAAGUCAGUUGUGAAAGUUUGCGGCUAAACCGUAGAAUUGCAGUUGAAACUGGCAGUCUUGAGUACAGGAGAGGUGAGCGGAAUUCGUGGUGUAGCGGUGAAAUGCUUAGAUAUCACGAAGAACUCCGAUUGCGAAGGCAGCUCACUGGACUGCAACUGACACUGAGGCUCGAAAGUGUGGGUAUCAAACAGGAUUAGAUACCCGAGUAGUC